rnacentral:rRNA from 1 species
AUGGAGCCAAACAUGAAUCCUCAGGAUGCUUCUUUGCCGCCAUAUGAGGAGUUCAUAAAGGAAUUAAACACGCAGCAAAGGAUGUACAUCCAGUUGAUAGGACUGGGUGGACUUCUCAAGACACCUAGCAUCAAAAUCAUAUGUGUACUGUGCAUGGACAUCACUAAUUCAUAUGAUGCAGAGCAGGAUGCCUUUAUCAUCAACGGGAGACCAUGUAGGAUCACACUAGAAGAUGUAGUGCAUAUAACAUGCAUGACCUGCCAUGGGAAGAAGCACGUCCCUUCAAAUCUUGAUGAAAAUAUGGAGUUGUGGAAGAAACUGAAAGACCAUAAUGACACCAAAAUAACUUUCAAAGGAUUGCUAGCCAAGAUGAAAGGCGACAGCACACCAAAUUUUGUCAGGCCAUUUGUCUUGUACACCAUAGGCAAAUAUGUAUGCCGAACAAAAGAGGAGUAUGUGGAUAAAAAAUAUAUUGGGAUUGUUAGAAACAUUGAGACGAUAAAGGGCACAAAUCCUGGACAGCUAACGCUUGACUAUCUUAUGGAUAGCUUGAAGAAUUUUGUAAAUGGUGAGGCAAUUCUGGAGGGGAAUCUACCACUGCUGCAGACAUGGUACUACGAGAAGUUCAGAGUGCACCAAUUGGACUCUAGCAUCUCGUAUGAAUCAAGGUUAAGGCCGCUGAUCCAGAACUGGAGCGAGGAGAAGGCAAAAAAGGUUGACAAUAUAAUCCAGAAUAAUUAUCUGGGAGUUGGAGAGUAUGUUGAGGACCUGAUGAGGCCUUUCAUUCCAGCACGAGAUGGUAUGCUGGCCAAACCGAAGACUGGCGGUCAGUAUGAAGUUAUAUGA